CUAAACUGAGGGAGGUACGUCGAAACUGACCGGCUAGAGGGACGUAGAGGUAAGCGGAACUCUCGGAGUAGCGGUGAAAUGCGUAGAGACCGAGAGGUACCCCGAUGGUGAAGACAGCUUACUGGGCGUCUCCUGACGCUGAAGCGCUAAGGCCAGGGGAGCGAAGGGGAUUAGAUACCCCCGUAGUCCUGGCUUCAAACGAUGUGGGCUUGGUGUCGGCCCCCUAUAGAGGGUCGUUGCCGGAGUUAACGCGUUAAGCCCACCGCCUGGGGAUUACGUCCGCAAGGAUGAAACUCAGGGGAAUUGACGGGGGCCCACACAACCGGUGGAGCACGUGGUUUAAUUCGAUGAUAAGCGAAGAACCUUACCAGGGCUUGACCUAGCGGUAGUAGAACCCCGAAAGGGGAACGACCUCAAGCUUUGCUUGAGGAGCC
rnacentral:rRNA from 1 species